ACCUGUCCUUGUGCUGUGGUCUACGGGAUUAAAUAAGCCUCAUGAUGGCAGACUGCUAGAGCCAACAGAAGAUAAUUUGGAGGCAGCACGAGGUGGUAGUGCACAGGUCAGCCUUCCAUGGCUGCUCACAAAAAAGACUGUCUGUGAUCCUAACGGGCAUCCGGUCACAGGAUCUGCGGAGCACUAUGUUUUGUAUGACAGAUUCCAUGAGAAUAAUACCAAGGACCCCAAAAAUGCCCUCGGGAAGGUGGAGCUGGUGCUGAACUGCGAGGCUGGGUUAAUAGUCAAUGCACCGAGCAGCUGUUCGCAGGGAUGCACAAAAACAAUUCUUUUAAAAAUAUUUUUACCUUCUAAUCAUGUGUUUUUGAUGAGGAACAUUAUCCAUAAUUACAACACAAGAAGAAAUAGACUCAAAAUUGAUGCCAUGAAAAAAAAAAACUUUGGAGGAGUGGACAUCAUAAUUGAUGGUAAUGGGCAGACAAUAAUUGCUCCCACAGACAUAACAGGUCCACCUGCAAGCCCCACUAGCAGCUCCUGCAGAUCAGUGUGUGGGCUAAACUGUUGUGGACUGCCUCGUUUGAAACACCUCUUUCCAACAACAGAAGUACAGGUUGGCGAUCUGCCUCUGGAGUUGCGGUCAUUAUGGCUGAACCAUAAUGCAAUUGAAGCAAAUGUACAGUAUGACUGUUAGCGCGCGCGCACACACACACACACACACAACUAACUGGUAUGGACUGCCUCCACACUUUGUAAUUCACAGCUUCUGAUGCCCAAGCUUUGCUGGAUGUAUCUGCUGGACUCGGCUGACCCUAGUGGUUCUGGGGACGAGCAGACUUUAGGCGUAUUCAGGUUUAAUAAAUGAGAUAUUAGAGCUGUUCAAUGUUCCAUCUUGUGUUCCACCAGAGCU